rnacentral:rRNA from 1 species
UACGUAGGGACCAAGCGUUGUCCGGAAUCAUUGGGCGUAACGAGCGUGUAGGCGGCCAGGUAGGUCUGCUGUGAAAACUCGAGGCUUAACCUCGAGCUGUCGGCGGAAACCAUCUGGCUAGAGUCCGGAAGAGGAGAAUGGAAUUCCCGGUGUAGCGGUGAAAUGCGCAGACAUCGGGAAGAACACCCGUGGCGAAGGCGGUUCUCUGGGACGGUACUGACGCUGAGACGCGAAAGCGUGGGGAGCGAACAGG